AGUAUUCACAUAAAACAGAUGCAGAUCUUAAGAAGUAUCGAUUGUGGAUGUAAAAAGCAGUGAAAGAUCGGCGACGUCGAGGGAAGAAUGGGGACCUGAUGUAGAGAUCGGUGACGUCGAGGGAGAGCUGGGCGUGCUAGAGGGGAUUCUCGGCGAGCCACACGGCGCGGUCAUCGCGGCUCCGCCGGAACCCUAAAUGCCGUCGCCGAGAGCUUUCUCAGCCACUCCUCCGCCGUCGCCGAGAGCUCCUCCGCCGGAGACGACGACGCCGCCGCCGCUGCCGAUAGAGAGCCGACACAGCUUGGAUCGAGAGAGGAGCGGGAAGGGGGAGGGGGGAGGGGGAGCUUGGAUCCAAAGAGGAGCGGGGAGGGGGAGGGGGACGGCGACGGGGACUGGGACGGGGAGCUUGGAUCGAGAGAGGGCGCGGGUUGAGAGAGGGCGCGAGGUUGGGUUGGGUUAGGUUGAGGUUGGGUUAGGUUAGGUUGAGGUUGGGUUAGGUUGGGGUUGGAUUAGAAUUAUAUUUAAUAUAUAAAUAUUAGUGGGUUAAAACUAUAUAUUUGAAAAUAAUUGCCGCUAAAGGUGUAAUAAAAUAAUAGUAAUAGCGGCCGUUUGACAAUCGCUAUUGUUAAAUUGCCGCUAAAAGG
rnacentral:lncRNA from 1 species